rnacentral:lncRNA from 1 species
GGGGGGAGGUUAAAGAGAGUGUGAAACCACUAGAAACGAAGAACUGAAAGAGUUCAUUAAUUAAGCAUGCGAUCUUGCCUUCUUGACUUCAUACUUUGUUCUAGAAACCCGAUUCAUUUAUCAAUCUUGCUGUCAAACUUUGAGGAGAAUUUUGAGCUGUCUCUGACGUCCCAUGCUCAUUGUUACACGAGUUUGUAUCACGCGACUCGAUGGCCAACAACCAAAUCAUGAAACAUGUUGCUUUCAUUUCUUUUUCUCAUUCUUGAUUCGUUAGUUUAAUACUAAGUUACAAGGAUCAUGUCCACAUACAACAAGAAUAGAUAGAUGCUGCUCAAAAUUAAUACGGCAAAUAUAUGCUUAGAAAUUUGCUGAAGAUUUCUGCAAUGCUUGAUAGCUCUUGCCCUUCAGAUGCAACCCAUCAAUCUUCUAAGACAUCAUCCAAGGAACCAUUCCUCGGGCUACAUGUCGCGCAUAUGGAACACCAUUGCUCUUCAAGUAGUGUCAAGAACAAGUCAAGCCAAGCUUGUUAAAAACGUUUAAGCUUGGCUCGUUUUUUAGCUGAACAAACGAUCUAGAAGCUUGUUAUCGAGCCAAAC